CCAAAACCAGCGUGUGUGUGUGUAUCAGGUGAAACUUCAUCUCUGCAGAUUAAAUAUUUAAAGAGUGUUGAGAGUUUGGUUCCACUCAGAGACCAGGACCAGGACCAGGAUCAGUGUUAGGCUCUAAGUGUCGUCGUCGUCUUCACAGCAUCAGUGGGACUGAAAUAAUCUAAUCUGCAGGAAACAGUGAUGUUUGUGAAUUCAUGUGCGCAGAGCGGCUCUCACUCGCUCACCUUCCUGGGGAAGAAAGUGGGCAGACGUCGUUCUGUGGCUCCUGCAGCAAAACAACGAGCCUGGGAGUCCACAGACUCUUCUUGUGUCAGAGAUGAGACUCUGGUGUCGUCUGGACCUGGACCUGGACGGGUCUCAGUCUCAGCUGCAGUUCAGGUUCUGGAGGAUUUACCGGGCAGCGUUCCACACCUGAAGGACGAGAGGCCGCGUGCCAUUACUCAGGAGCCGGCAGGUCAGAGGUCGUGAACUCUGUCUCACGUGUACGGGCUACAGCUGCUGCAGAAGCCUCAGGUCUUUGUUUUAUUAUCAUUGUUAUUAUUAUUAUUAUUGUUCUGAUGUAAAGCUGUUGGGCGAGGUUUCCUCUCAUUAUAAAGUCUUUAAAUCUCAUUUAAAACUUACUUUUAGA